rnacentral:rRNA from 1 species
UACGAAGGGGGCUAGCGUUGUUCGGAAUUACUGGGCGUAAAGCGCACGUAGGCGGAUAUUUAAGUCGGGGGUGAAAUCCCGGGGCUCAACCCCGGAACGGCCUUCGAUACUGGGUAUCUUGAGUCCGGAAGAGGUGAGUGGAAUUGCGAGUGUAGAGGUGAAAUUCGUAGAUAUUCGCAGGAACACCAGUGGCGAAGGCGGCUCACUGGUCCGGAACUGACGCUGAGGUGCGAAAGCGUGGGGAGCAAACAGG